rnacentral:rRNA from 1 species
UACGUAGGGUGCGAGCGUUGUCCGGAAUUAUUGGGCGUAAAGAGCUCGUAGGCGGUCUGUCGCGUCGGUCGUGAAAACUUGGGGCUUAACCCUGAGCUUGCGGUCGAUACGGGCAUGACUGGAGUUCGGCAGGGGAGACUGGAAUUCCUGGUGUAGCGGUGAAAUGCGCAGAUAUCAGGAGGAACACCGGUGGCGAAGGCGGGUCUCUGGGCCGAUACUGACGCUGAGGAGCGAAAGCGUGGGGAUCAAACAGG